GAGUUUGAUCAUGGCUCAGAUUGAACGCUGGCGGCAGGCCUAACACAUGCAAGUCGAGCGGUAGCACAGAGAGCUUGCUCUCGGGUGACGAGCGGCGGACGGGUGAGUAAUGUCUGGGAAACUGCCUGAUGGAGGGGAUAACUACUGGAAACGGUAGCUAAUACCGCAUAACGUCGCAAGACCAAAGUGGGGGACCUUCGGGCCUCAUGCCAUCAGAUGUGCCCAGAUGGGAUUAGCUAGUAGGUGGGGUAACGGCUCACCUAGGCGACGAUCCCUAGCUGGUCUGAGAGGAUGACCAGCCACACUGGAACUGAGACACGGUCCAGACUCCUACGGGAGGCAGCAGUGGGGAAUAUUGCACAAUGGGCGCAAGCCUGAUGCAGCCAUGCCGCGUGUGUGAAGAAGGCCUUCGGGUUGUAAAGCACUUUCAGCGGGGAGGAAGGCGAUAAGGUUAAUAACCUUGUCGAUUGACGUUACCCGCAGAAGAAGCACCGGCUAACUCCGUGCCAGCAGCCGCGGUAAUACGGAGGGUGCAAGCGUUAAUCGGAAUUACUGGGCGUAAAGCGCACGCAGGCGGUCUGUCAAGUCGGAUGUGAAAUCCCCGGGCUCAACCUGGGAACUGCAUUCGAAACUGGCAGGCUAGUGUCUUGUAGAGGGGGGUAGAAUUCCAGGUGUAGCGGUGAAAUGCGUAGAGAUCUGGAGGAAUACCGGUGGCGAAGGCGGCCCCCUGGACAAAGACUGACGCUCAGGUGCGAAAGCGUGGGGAGCAAACAGGAUUAGAUACCCUGGUAGUCCACGCCGUAAACGAUGUCGAUUUGGAGGUUGUGCCCUUGAGGCGUGGCUUCCGGAGCUAACGCGUUAAAUCGACCGCCUGGGGAGUACGGCCGCAAGGUUAAAACUCAAAUGAAUUGACGGGGGCCCGCACAAGCGGUGGAGCAUGUGGUUUAAUUCGAUGCAACGCGAAGAACCUUACCUGGUCUUGACAUCCACAGAACUUUCCAGAGAUGGAUUGGUGCCUUCGGGAACUGUGAGACAGGUGCUGCAUGGCUGUCGUCAGCUCGUGUUGUGAAAUGUUGGGUUAAGUCCCGCAACGAGCGCAACCCUUAUCCUUUGUUGCCAGCGGUYMGGCCGGGAACUCAAAGGAGACUGCCAGUGAUAAACUGGAGGAAGGUGGGGAUGACGUCAAGUCAUCAUGGCCCUUACGACCAGGGCUACACACGUGCUACAAUGGCAUAUACAAAGAGAAGCGACCUCGCGAGAGCAAGCGGACCUCAUAAAGUAUGUCGUAGUCCGGAUUGGAGUCUGCAACUCGACUCCAUGAAGUCGGAAUCGCUAGUAAUCGUAGAUCAGAAUGCUACGGUGAAUACGUUCCCGGGCCUUGUACACACCGCCCGUCACACCAUGGGAGUGGGUUGCAAAAGAAGUAGGUAGCUUAACCUUCGGGAGGGCGCUUACCACUUUGUGAUUCAUGACUGGGGUGAAGUCGUAACAAGGUAACCGUAGGGGAACCUGCGGUUGGAUCACC
rnacentral:rRNA from 1 species